rnacentral:lncRNA from 1 species
GACAACAGAUAGAAAUCAAAACACUUCCCUUCCAGAAUUGCUAUGAUACCACUUAAUGAGAUCCUAGGAUGAUGCUCUGGAACAGAUGGGAUAAUCCUUGCAGAAACGAAUCAAAAGACUCAAGCUUCUCAAGGUAUGUGGAUCGAAUGGUGACACAAGAGGCUGCGGAAAGGCUUCUUGAUACUCCUAGGCUUAGAUCGGAUAUGACACACCUCUCUAAAGCCCUUGGGCGUUGGAUAUUACAAACCAACAGACUGGAUAUUACACACCAGACACACUUCAACUCGCCAAAGACAAGAGAGAAGAGAGAAAAAGGUUUUUGAUAAAAGAUUGCUUAAUGAUCAUGGGGGGUCACGACCAGAAUAUAAAGAGAGGCCCUUGUACAUGCACAAGGUCUCGAAAAUAGAAAUAAAAAUAAAGGGAACAGGCUCCCUUGGAAACUAAAGAAAGACCAAGUUUUCGAAAUUAUUCAAAACAUAAAACAUAUGAUAAAAAUAACAUAAGAUAGAUAAUGUGGUUGGUCCGGGAUCAUCAUCUAGGAGAUGUGAAAGUAAACUUGUGGCCUCGUUAAAAACCUUCCUUUGGAAAACCCAGUGGGACAAAACCAAAGGUAAGGAAAAGAGCACACACAAGCUACUUGCCUAGAUGAUGAUCAGCUUGAAGGUGGAGUAGCUUGAAUUGUGGUGAGUGUGUCUUGGUUGAUCAAGCUGCAACCAAGACAAUCUUCUUGCUUCCUUGACAUCUUGAGUAUUCCUCCAUCAGCUUCAUUGAGUUUCUUUGAUCUGGAACAAGUGUUGGGACCUUCAGGAAUGGCUAGGGCAUCUUCAUCUACAAGCUGGUCCAUGAUCACAUUUUCUU